rnacentral:snRNA from 10 species
GUGCCGUAAACUAAUGAGUAAGGAAAAUAAACGAACCCUGGUGACGCGGGGUUUAAAGGGUAUUUCCCUUGCGUGAUUUUUGAGGGGCACAGGUCGCUAUUGGCUGUGGAAGCUUACUUUGCUUUCCGCAGUUGAAGUGGGAUCUUCCCC